ACUCAAAUGAAUUGACGGGGACCCGCACAAGCGGUGGAGCAUGUGGUUUAAUUCGAGGCUACGCGAGGAACCUUACCUAGGCUUGACAUGUUAGCAGUAGGUGGGAUGAAAGUUCCGCCGACCGUAUCCAAUCGGAGGCUUACACAGGUGCUGCAUGGCUGUCGUCAGCUCGUGCUGUGAAGUGUUGGGUUAAGUCCCGCAACGAGCGCAACCAUUGCCCCUAGUUGCCAUCAGGUAAAGCUGGGAACUCUAGGGGGACUGCCGGUGAUAAACCGGAGGAAGGUGGAGAUGACGUCAAGUCAGCAUGGCCCUUACGCCUAGGGCGACACACGUGCUACAAUGGUCGGUACAAUGGGUUGCGAACCCGCGAGGGGGAGCCAAUCCCAAAAAGCCGACCCCAGUUCGGAUUGAAGGCUGCAAUUCGCCUUCAUGAAGCUGGAAUCGCUAGUAAUGGCGUAUCAGCCACGACGCCGUGAAUACGUUCCCGGGUCUUGUACACACCGCCCGU
rnacentral:rRNA from 1 species